GAUGAACGCUAGCUACAGGCUUAACACAUGCAAGUCGAGGGGCAGCAUGAACUUAGCUUGCUAAGUUUGAUGGCGACCGGCGCACGGGUGAGUAACACGUAUCCAACCUGCCGAUGACUCGGGGAUAGCCUUUCGAAAGAAAGAUUAAUACCCGAUGGCAUAGUUCUUCCGCAUGGUAGAACUAUUAAAGAAUUUCGGUCAUCGAUGGGGAUGCGUUCCAUUAGGUUGUUGGCGGGGUAACGGCCCACCAAGCCUUCGAUGGAUAGGGGUUCUGAGAGGAAGGUCCCCCACAUUGGAACUGAGACACGGUCCAAACUCCUACGGGAGGCAGCAGUGAGGAAUAUUGGGCAAUGGACGAGAGUCUGAACCAGCCAAGUAGCGUGAAGGAUGACUGCCCUAUGGGUUGUAAACUUCUUUUAUACGGGAAUAAAGUGAGGCACGUGUGCCUUUUUGUAUGUACCGUAUGAAUAAGGAUCGGCUAACUCCGUG
rnacentral:rRNA from 1 species